AGGACGAACGCUGGCGGCGUGCUUAACACAUGCAAGUCGAGCGGUAAGGCCCUUUCGGGGGUACACGAGCGGCGAACGGGUGAGUAACACGUGAGCAAUCCGCCCUUCACUUCGGGAUAAGCCUCGGAAACGGGGUCUAAUACCGGAUAUGACCGCGCUACGCAUGUGGUGUGGUGGAAAGUUCUGGCGGUGGAGGAUGAGCUCGCGGCCUAUCAGCUUGUUGGUGGGGUAAUGGCCUACCAAGGCUUCGACGGGUAGCCGGCCUGAGAGGGUGACCGGCCACACUGGGACUGAGACACGGCCCAGACUCCUACGGGAGGCAGCAGUGGGGAAUAUUGGACAAUGGGCGAAAGCCUGAUCCAGCAACGCCGCGUGAGGGAUGACGGCCUUCGGGUUGUAAACCGUCUUUCAGCGCCGACGAAGCGAGAGUGACGGUAGGCGCGAGAAGAGCACCGGCAACUCGUGCCAGCAGCCGC
rnacentral:rRNA from 1 species